AAAGACUUCUAUGAAAUGUUCGGCAGCUCAGGUUUGAAUUAACAGAUUAGGAAUAUAACGCUGAUGCAUUGUUGCUGUUGUGCUACUGCUUCAAACACGUCAGCUGGAAAUAAAAAAACAGAAGGAAUUUCACCCUAAAAAUAGGAGUGAACCUAAUGGUUGGCCAUGAAAUAAAUAAAUAAAAAAUAAAUACUGACCAGUACAGAGCGGCACUUGAAAUCGGACUCAGUUUUAGCCUUUCGCUCGAUAUUACCGUGAUUUGUACUUAAAAUAAACUAUUACCACCUGUUUCAUUGCGACAUUCAAUCUUCCCAGCAAAACUAAAAUUCUCUCGAUCGGCUAAAAGCCUUCUAGUGGGGGCCAGUCUGAGUUGGCGCCUUCCAUCGUCCCCACCCCCCUCCUGAUCCAGUCCGAAAUAUAAACUUAUGUUUAUCUAGCCAAGUCCCACUUCGGCGAUUGGAAAGCAAGACGUUGGACCGUGCUAGUGUAAAACGUAUGGAAAAAAGUGGAAAAAUGGAAGAAGGAAGAUCUGCCAACCAACAACCUAAAACUUUUCUCAUCUGGUCUAUUCUUAACCUCCUAUGUUGCUGUUUCCCGUUGGGUCUCGCUGCUGUGAUUUGCUCCAUGAGGGUGGAGAAUGCGAACUCUGUGGGAGACGCAUCACGAGCAAAGGAGGCGUCUCGAAUAGCCAGAGCCCUCAAUAUCACCGGCUGUGUCCUGGGAGCUUUGAUUGUUAUAAUCGGUGUUGCCUUGUAUAUUUUUGUCCUGUCAAAGCAGCACUAGCUGUUCACAAUAAGGCGUUUAUAUGCUCCAGAUGGCUUUACGCUGCAGCAGCUUGGUUUAUAUCUUUAUUAUGU